UACGAAGGGGGGCUAGCGUUGUUCGGAUUUACUGGGCGUAAAGCGCACGUAGGCGGAUCGAUCAGUCAGGGGUGAAAUCCCAGAGCUCAACUCUGGAACUGCCUUUGAUACUGUCGAUCUGGAGUAUGGAAGAGGUGAGUGGAAUUCCGAGUGUAGAGGUGAAAUUCGUAGAUAUUCGCAAGAACACCAGUGGCGAAAGGCGGCUCACUGGCCCGGUACUGACGCUGAGGUGCGAAAGGCGUGGGGAGCA
rnacentral:rRNA from 1 species